rnacentral:rRNA from 1 species
UACGAAGGGGGCUAGCGUUGCUCGGAAUCACUGGGCGUAAAGGGUGCGUAGGCGGGUCUUUAAGUCAGGGGUGAAAUCCUGGAGCUCAACUCCAGAACUGCCUUUGAUACUGAGGAUCUUGAGUUCGGGAGAGGUGAGUGGAACUGCGAGUGUAGAGGUGAAAAUUCGUAGAUAUUCGCAAGAACACCAGUGGCGAAGGCGGCUCACUGGCCCGAUACUGACGCUGAGGCACGAAAGCGUGGG